GAGCAGAAUUUACUUUUACAGAUGCUUAUGACUGCUAAAACAUGGACAACGCAACACACAAUCACAGCUUUUGUUGCUACUAGCUGCUUCUUCACUCAGCAUGUUAAGACGCACAGGAAUUUAAUCAAGAGAAGUAUUAUCAUCGCUGAAGAAAUGGCAGAUUUUAAUCCUCAGACACCGAACAGGUCAAGCCCUGAAGAAAUAACACCAUGGACAUCAUCUUCUGACUGAACUAGCAAGGAGCUGUUGGAGCAAAUGAGAAAGCUGUUGGAAUGUAAACCUACCUGAGUAAACGCCACUACUUUAAUGAUAAUUUCUAAGUUUACUGAGCGACGUAAACUGCUGUCAUCCACGUCACAUCAUUGCUCUAACUGACGUUACCUGAAGAAUCCUUUCAGCGUAGCAGAUAUUCGCAAGCGUCUGGAGCCAACAUAAAAUGCUGAACUGGAUGCUUACUGAAGAGUGAGCUUCAACACUUAAGGUUUGUACAAAGUUACACCAUGUCACUGAAAAUGGCACGCAUCAACAAGAUUUCAGAGACAUUUUAAAUGUUGAUGAUCUUCAGGUGAGUUGAAAUUUGUCAACACUACCUCCAUCACUGUCAUCACUGUAAAUAAAAUAAAGUUGGCUUGCUUGUUUAACAUGUUAAUUUUUGCUUGACUCUGAAGGGUGUGAAUGAUGUCAACAUGAAACGCACCAUAGCCCUCUGUGCUCCUCGGUGUACCUGUGAGGAGGAGCCACAACUCUUCAAGACUUGAAAUGAGGCGUUGGGAGAGCCAGACAUCACUGGUUCUGUCAUUGUGGUCAAUGAAACGAAAGCACAAGUCCUUCAAGCACUGCAGUUGUGAUAGAAGAUGAUCUUCAGUUUUAUAAUAAAAGACUAAUCUUCAAAAAAAAAAA